rnacentral:rRNA from 1 species
UACGGAGGGAGCUAGCGUUGUUCGGAAUUACUGGGCGUAAAGCGCACGUAGGCGGCUUUGUAAGUUAGGGGUGAAAGCCUGGAGCUCAACUUCAGAAUUGCCCUUAAGACUGCAUCGCUUGAAUCCAGGAGAGGUGAGUGGAAUUCCGAGUGUAGAGGUGAAAUUCGUAGAUAUUCGGAAGAACACCAGUGGCGAAGGCGGCUCACUGGACUGGUAUUGACGCUGA